CAAAAGGGUUGCCAGGGUCAGCAAGAAUGGUUGGCAGAAAUCAAAUACCUGGGGCAGCUAAUUCAUCCAAACCUUGUGAAAUUGAUUGGCUAUUGCUUAGAGGAUGGCCACCGGCUUUUGGUGUAUGAGUUUAUGCCUAAUGGAAGCUUGGAUAAACAUCUAAUUAGAUUGAAUUUAUUUGAAGCAGAGGAUUCUUAUUACAUUCAACCACUCUCUUGGAAUCUCCGC
rnacentral:misc_RNA from 1 species